rnacentral:misc_RNA from 1 species
CAACCCCUCAAGCUCAGCUUGGUGUUGGGGCCUGCCGCGUUGGCAGCCCUUAAAAUCAGUGGCGGUGCCAUCUGGCUCUAAGCGUAGUAAUUCUUCUCGCUACAGGGUCCUGGUGAGCGCUUGCCAUAAGCCUAUAUUUUCUAU